AUGCCCGUGAUGAGUUCACCAACACCUGUGCAGCUGACAGUGAGAUCGAGUUGGCCUACGCUGACGUCGCCAAACGCCUCAGCCGAUCCUGAGCACAGCCAUUUUGCCCCAUCCCCGCUGCAGAAGGACUCAACCACUCCCCUAAGACUCCAGCUUCAUAGACUCCUCUUUAUCACUGCCUUGAGGCGCACUUUUUGUAAUCAUGCCUCAUCUUGCUGGUAUCAUGGGAACUCCAGCCUGCUAUCUUUCACGAAGUUUCAUCUCCUAAAAAGCUUACCCAGUCCAAGCUUGGGGACCUGUGCAGAGGAAACUAAGAAAAAUGCACUCAUCAACUCCCUCUCCCAGUGAACGCCCAAGAUCUUUCUCCAGAUGCUUCAGCCUGUCUGGGCUUCUUAUAUGUGCAGAACAUCAUGUCUCAGCAACAGUGUGGUGAGGUCCUUAGGUGUCCCAAGAACAACUCAGGGAGCACAGGAGGGUCUGCAGUUGGGACCCCACACUACACAGCUAUAGGGUAGGAGGCUUCCUUUUCAUUGGUCCUGAAUGAAUACGAAUCGCUCAGGAAGGCA
rnacentral:sRNA from 1 species